rnacentral:rRNA from 1 species
CCAAGUUUUUAAGGGCGCACGGUGGAUGCCUUGGCACCAGGAACCGAUGAAGGACGUGGGAGGCCGCGAUAGGCCCCGGGGAGCUGUCAACCGAGCUUUGAUCCGGGGGUGUCCGAAUGGGGAAACCCGGCAGUCGUCAUGGGCUGUCACCCGCUGCUGAACACAUAGGCAGUGUGGAGGGAACGCGGGGAAGUGAAACAUCUCAGUACCCGCAGGAAGAGAAAACAACCGUGAUUCCGGGAGUAGUGGCGAGCGAAACUGGAUGAGGCCAAACCGUAUGCGUGUGAGACCCGGCAGGGGUUGCGUAUACGGGGUUGUGGGAUCUCUCUUUCAUGGUCUGCCGGCCAUGAGACGAGUCAGAAACCGUUGAUGUAGGCGAAGGACAUGCGAAAGGUCCGGCGUAGAGGGUAAGACCCCCGUAGUCGAAACGUCAGCGGCUCGUUUGAGAGACACCCAAGUAGCACGGGGCCCGAGAAAUCCCGUGUGAAUCUGGCGGGACCACCCGCUAAGCCUAAAUAUUCCCUGGUGACCGAUAGCGGAUAGUACCGUGAGGGAAUGGUGAAAAGUACCCCGGGAGGGGAGUGAAAUAGUACCUGAAACCGUGUGCCUACAAGCCGUGGGAGCGUCGGAACAAGGCUUGCCUUGUUCUCGUGACUGCGUGCCUUUUGAAGAAUGAGCCUGCGAGUUUGCGGUGUGUUGCGAGGUUAACCCGUGUGGGGAAGCCGUAGCGAAAGCGAGUCCGAAUAGGGCGUUGGAGUAGCACGCUCAAGACCCGAAGCGGAGUGAUCUAGCCAUGGGCAGGUUGAAGCGGAGGUAAGACUUCGUGGAGGACCGAACCCACCAGGGUUGAAAACCUGGGGGAUGACCUGUGGUUAGGGGUGAAAGGCCAAUCAAACUCCGUGAUAGCUGGUUCUCCCCGAAAUGCAUUUAGGUGCAGCGUCGUGUGUUUCUUGCCGGAGGUAGAGCACUGGAUAGGCGAUGGGCCCUACCGGGUUACUGACCUUAGCCAAACUCCGAAUGCCGGUAAGUGAGAGCGCGGCAGUGAGACUGUGGGGGAUAAGCUCCAUGGUCGAGAGGGAAACAGCCCAGAGCAUCGACUAAGGCCCCUAAGCGUACGCUAAGUGGGAAAGGAUGUGGAGUCGCAGAGACAACCAGGAGGUUGGCUUAGAAGCAGCCACCCUUGAAAGAGUGCGUAAUAGCUCACUGGUCUAGUGAUUCCGCGCCGACAAUGUAGCGGGGCUCAAGCGUACCGCCGAAGUCGUGUCAUUCAUACAACAGCCCCAACGGGUGUAUGGAUGGGUAGGGGAGCGUCGUCUGCCGGGUGAAGCAGCCGUGUAAGCGAGUUGUGGACGGUUGACGAGUGAGAAUGCAGGCAUGAGUAGCGAUUCACACGUGAGAAACGUGUGCGCCGAUUGACUAAGGGUUCCUGGGUCAAGCUGAUCUGCCCAGGGUAAGUCGGGACCUAAGGCGAGGCCGACAGGCGUAGUCGAUGGAUAACCGGUUGAUAUUCCGGUACCCGCUGUGAAGCGUCAAACAUCGAGCAUCGUGAUGCUAAGGCCGUGAAGCCGCCGGUGAUCCCUUCGGGGUGAUCCGGAGUGGUGGAGCCGCCGAACCAAGCGGUUAGUAGGUGAGUGAUGGGGUGACGCAGGAAGGUAGUCCAGCCCGGGCGGUGGUUGUCCCGGGGUAAGGGUGUAGGACGUCAGGUAGGCAAAUCCGCCUGGCAAUAGUCUGAGACCUGAUGCCGAGCCGAUUGUGGUGAAGUGGAUGAUCCUAUGCUGUCGAGAAAAGCCUCUAGCGAGUUUCAUGGCGGCCCGUACCCUAAACCGACUCAGGUGGUCAGGUAGAGAAUACCGAGGCGUUCGGGUGAACUAUGGUUAAGGAACUCGGCAAAAUGCCCCCGUAACUUCGGGAGAAGGGGGGCCACAUCCGGUGACGGGCUUUGCGCCCUGAGCUGGGGGUGGCCGCAGAGACCAGCGAGAAGCGACUGUUUACUAAAAACACAGGUCCGUGCGAAGCCGUAAGGCGAUGUAUACGGACUGACGCCUGCCCGGUGCUGGAACGUUAAGGGGACCGGUUAGCUCAGAUUCGUCUGGGCGAAGCUGAGAACUUAAGCGCCAGUAAACGGCGGUGGUAACUAUAACCAUCCUAAGGUAGCGAAAUUCCUUGUCGGGUAAGUUCCGACCUGCACGAAUGGCGUAACGACUUCUCGACUGUCUCAACCAUAGGCCCGGUGAAAUUGCACUACGAGUAAAGAUGCUCGUUUCGCGCAGCAGGACGGAAAGACCCCGGGACCUUUACUACAGUUUGAUAUUGGUGUUCGGUUCGGCUUGUGUAGGAUAGCUGGGAGACUGUGAAGCGCUAACGCCAGUUAGUGUGGAGUCGUCGUUGAAAUACCAGUCUGGUCGUGCUGGAUGUCUAACCUGGGUCCGUGAUCCGGAUCAGGGACAGUGUCUGAUGGGUAGUUUAACUGGGGCGGUUGCCUCCUAAAGGGUAACGGAGGCGCCCAAAGGUUCCCUCAGCCUGGUUGGCAAUCAGGUGUUGAGUGUAAGUGCACAAGGGAGCUUGACUGUGAGACCGACGGGUCGAGCAGGGACGAAAGUCGGGACUAGUGAUCCGGCGGUGGCUUGUGGAAGCGCCGUCGCUCAACGGAUAAAAGGUACCCCGGGGAUAACAGGCUGAUCUUCCCCAAGAGUCCAUAUCGACGGGAUGGUUUGGCACCUCGAUGUCGGCUCGUCGCAUCCUGGGGCUGGAGUCGGUCCCAAGGGUUGGGCUGUUCGCCCAUUAAAGCGGUACGCGAGCUGGGUUUAGAACGUCGUGAGACAGUUCGGUCCCUAUCCGCUGUGCGCGUAGGAGUCUUGAGAAGGGCUGUCCCUAGUACGAGAGGACCGGGACGGACGAACCUCUGGUGUGCCAGUUGUUCUGCCAAGGGCAUGGCUGGUUGGCUACGUUCGGGAGGGAUAACCGCUGAAAGCAUCUAAGCGGGAAGCCUGCUUCGAGAUGAGGACUCCCACCUCCUGGAGAGGGUAAGGCUCCCAGUAGACGACUGGGUUGAUAGGCCGGAUAUGGAAGCACGGUAACGUGUGGAGUUGACCGGUACUAAUAGGCCGAGGGCUUGUCCUC